UACAGAGGGUGCGAGCGUUAAUCGGAAUUACUGGGCGUAAAGCGCGCGUAGGCGGCUUUGCAAGCCGGAUGUGAAAUCCCCGGGCUUAACCUGGGAACUGCAUUCGGGACUGCAUUGCUAGAGUAUGGGAGAGGGAAGUGGAAUUUCAGGUGUAGCGGUGAAAUGCGUAGAUAUCUGAAGGAACAUCAGUGGCGAAAGCGACUUCCUGGACCAAUACUGCCGCUCAUGUGCGAAAGCGUGGGGAGCAAACAGG
rnacentral:rRNA from 1 species